rnacentral:lncRNA from 1 species
AGGAACGAUGGCAAGAAAAGGGCAAAUUGUGUGAUCAAAUACAACUCCCUGUAAACAAAGAUGGGUUGUGUGUUGAUUCUGAAUGCCAAAAUAAGUGUCGCGAGUCAAAAGGACCGAAGGGGAUGAGUAAAUGUUUUGGGUCAAAAGCCAAAAAAUCUUUGAAUUUCUAUUGCGGAAUUCCUUGUUAACGUGCUGGUUAAGUAUGGUGAAUAAAUAUGAUGCUUAACUAUGAUAUCGUUGAAGUAUUUUUUUUUCUCAGUUUUUUUUCCUGUACUAGAAAAACACUAUAAUAUUUUUAUUGGAAGCCUUAUAAUAAAGUAUUGAAAUGUUUGUUUCGGAUUUGUUGCAUUAUAUAUAAUAAGGAAUAACAUAAAUUUUAAUCAAGACACAAUGGUUUAGUAUAAUCAGUGAACUUUUAACUUUUUAAUGUAUUUAGUUAAUUCCGGCCAAUUGAACUUAAUAUCUUGUUCACUUACUUUUUCUAUUUGGGCUAAAAUAAUAUUACCGUCCACAAAAAUAAGAAUCUGAAAGUAAAAAUUAACUUUCUGAUUUUUAUUUAAAUAUAUCAAUGACAAAGCAUUCUUUAAAAUCCAACUCCAGUGAAAACAUCGUACGUUACUGAAGGAAAGAAAGACAAGUGAAAAACGAAUAAUUAAUCCCCUAGACAUUAUUUGAGAAGUAAUUUAUCAUAUGUCAUCACCAAAAUGAUUUUGAAAGAAAAAUGAUGACAUGGAGUAUAGCUAAUUAUGACAAGGAUAUUUACAUUUAAUGUUAUUUAUAUUUUUAGUAAGUUUUUUAGAAUAAGGUAAUACCACAUAAAUAUAACUAAUUUAAAAAUAAAUAAUAUAAUAAAAAAUUAAAAAUAAUAAUAUUUUUUAAAAAUUGAAAUUUAUAUAAUUCCGUUUUUAUAUUUUUAUUAUAAAAACAAAUCGUCAAAAUUUUAUGAAGAUUGUUUUUAAAAUUAAUUGUAAUUUUUAAUCCCACUACCAUUAAUUUCUUUUUAAUAUCUACAAAUUUUAGAAGUAUUAUUUAGUUUUAAUUUUUGAAAAUUAUACCUAACCAAAAUUUCUCUCAAAUUAAUAGAAUUUGAUUUUGUAUAUUUUAACAAAGAAAUAGAUAAAAAGUAUUUCCAAGAUUGUAGUUUUAAAUAUAUAUACAUAUGCCAUUAAAUAUAUAUUUUAAGUGAUUUUUUUCUUAAUUUUUACGUUAUUAAAUUAAAAUUUAAAAUGAAAUAUUGUAUGAAAAUAAUAAAAUUUAUAAAUUAACAAAUUAUUUUAAAUGAUUUAAGGAUUAAGACUUUUAUUUUUGGUGGUGAAGGAAAACACUUAAUUUAAUAGUUAAUGAAGAGAUUAUUAUAUAUUAUGGCAUACCUAUGAAUUAAAAGAUUCGUAAAAAAUAACAUUUGUGUAGACAACAAAGAGAAAAGUAAUUUUACUAAAAAUUAUAUUAUAAACUUAAUAUACAUAAUCCACUCAUGACGCAGACAAAACCUUUAUUAGUUUCUAUUAAGAACUUGAAUAGAUGUGUCGCAAGUUUCAUAAUACUUUUUAAUUAUAUUGAUAUUAUUAUAUUUAUAUCUUAACUGAAUAAUAUUUAACUCUGACCCACUUAAUAUGUCAUUCUCAAAUGUAGAAUUGUAACUUUUAAUUUCGUGUUUCUUUUGUUAACAUUUUAUAUAUUUUUUGUGCACCAAGUUCCUAUAUAUUUACAAUUAGAUAUCAUAUAUGCCGAAUUUUUUUGGAAGUGGGACCCCAUAAACUGGAGGCCCCAUUCAAAUGUUUUAAAAUACUACAUACAAGCUCGACUCUGGACUUGAGUUGCGUAAGACCGCAAACUAAGGUGUGUUUGAUCUGUGUUUGAUUGAUCUGCACCCGACUAGCACAUGAUGUGUAUAUCUAACUGAGCAGUACUGCAUUACCCGACAGAGGCAUAUAUACUGAAGACAUCAUUGAUCCCACUAUAUUGCAAACUAGAACCCUCAUAUUCCAAACAAAGGAUAACUAAAAGAAAGUAAUGGAUUGGGUCGAGGCACCGGUCUAGGCUAAAAUGACUAGUUGGUUUUUAUUUUUUAAUGUGUGAGGCCAUUGAACGUUAUUUUUUAAUCAUGCUACCUUUUCGUAUGUUUUAGAAGAUGAAGACAAAUUAUGUGAAUACCGAAAAAGAAAGGAAAUAAAAUAAAAAUAAAUCACAAAAAAUAAUAGUAUAUUUCAUUUUUAGCGAGAAACUGUAUCUAUGGAAAGAGAAGAAUAAAUUAGAUGAAGAGAAUACUUUUACCUUACAUAUAAAAAAGGAAAAGAAUAAAAUAGACGAAGAUAAUAUUAUUAUUUUUACCCAGACAUAUUUUUUACAUAGAGAUUAAUUAAACAUCUCAAUCUUUAGUUUUAAUUUUUGAUAAUUAUACCUAACCAAAAUUUCUCUCAAUUUAAUAGAAUUUGAUUUAGUAUAUUUUAACAAAAAAAUAGAUAAAAAGUCUUUCCAAGAUUGUAGUUUUAAAUAUAUAUACAUAUAUUAUUAAAUAUAUAUUUUAAAUGAUUUAUUUUUUCUUAAUUUUUACGUUAUUAAAUUCAAAUUUAAAAUGAAAUAUUGUAUGAAAAUACUAAAAUUUAUAAAUUAAAAAAAAUUUAUAAAUGAUUUAAGGUUUAAGACUUUUUUUUUGGUGGUGAAGGAAAACACUUAGUUUAAUAGUUAAUGAAGAGAUUAUUAUAUAUUAUGGCAUACCUAUGAAUUAAAAGAUUCGUAAAAAAUAACAUUUGUGUAGACAACAAAGAGAAAAGUAAUUUUACUAAAAAUUAUAUUAUAAACUUAAUAUACAUAAUCCACUCAUAACGCAGACAAAACCUUUAUUAGUUUCUAUUAAGAACUUGAAUAGAUGUGUCGCAAGUUUCAUAAUACUUUUUAAUUAUAUUGAUAUUAUUAUAUUUAUAUCUUAACUGAAUAAUAUUUAACUCUGACCCACUUAAUAUGUCAUUCUCAAAUGUAGAAUUGUAACUUUUAAUUUCGUAUUUCUUUUGUUAACAUUUUAUAUAUUUUUUGUGCACCAAGUUUCUAUAUAUUUACAAUUAGAUAUCAUAUAUGCCGAAUUUUUUUGGAAGUGGGUCCCCGUAAACUGGAGGCUCCAUUCAAAUGUUUUAAAAUACUACAUACAAGCUCGACUCUGGACUUGAGUUGCGUAAGACCGCAAACUAAGGUGUGUUUGAUCUGUGUUUGAUUGAUCUGCACCCGACUAGCACAUGAUGUGUAUAUCUAACUGAGCAGUACUGCAUUACCCGACAGAAGCAUAUAUACUGAAGACAUCAUUGAUCCCACUAUAUUGCAAACUAGAACCCUCAUAUUCCAAACAAAUGAUAACUAAAAGAAAGUAAUGGAUUGGGUCGAGGCACCGGUCUAGGCUAAAAUGACUAGUUGGUUUUUAUUUUUUAAUGUGUGAGGCCAUUGAACGUUAUUUUUUAAUCAUGCUACCUUUUCGUAUGUUUUAGAAGAUGAAGACAAAUUAUGUGAAUACCGAAAAAGAAAGGAAAUAAAAUAAAAAUAAAUCACAAAAAAUAAUAGUAUAUUUCAUUUUUAGCGAGAAACUGUAUCUAUGGAAAGAGAAGAAUAAAUUAGAUGAAGAGAAUACUUUUACCUUACAUAUAAAAAAGGAAAAGAAUAAAAUAGACGAAGAUAAUAUUACUAUUUUUACCCAGACAUAUUUUUUACAUAGAGAUUAAUUAAACAUCUCAAUGUUUUAUAUCAAACUGCAACAAAAUGAUCUUUGAAUUUUUUUUGAUUAAAUUUUAUAGCCUAAUUUUUGACUCCCAACAAUUACAGUACACAAUUUUUCAAACUACCAUAAGAUAGCAAUUUUUUUACAAUAUUAAAAAUAAUUAGUUUACGCAUAUGACAUUUACCAUUAUAUUUAUUUAUAGAAACAUAAGUGAACGAGUCCAAAGCUUUCACGUAUUAGAUGAGCAAGAAAAAUGGAAAUUUUUCAAAAUUAGAUUCGGUUAAAGCGGAACAUAAUAAAGUGAAUUGCUUAAAUUAGCUAUUUUAGCUAUAUAUAUAUAUAUAUUCAUGUUACCAAAACAGAAAAAUACAUCACCUUUCCUUUUAGAGUUUAAAAUCAUUAUCAAUUCACUUCUGUCAUAUAUGAUGAAGAAAACCCCUCAACUCUCGUUUACAGUCUUUACUAUCUUCAUCAUUCUUGUGUUAGGUUUGUAUUUAUAAUUUAAGUUUAUCUUAACAUUUACAUAUACUCGUUAUAACAUAAACUGAUCUUGAAUAAUGUGAUUUUGAUAUUUUUAAAAUAUCAUUCAGGCUAUAUUUUGUAAAAUACAUCAUAAUUUAUAUAGUGUAGAAGUUGUUAUUUCAAGUAUCUCUUUUAUGUAAAUUUCAUAACAUACAUAAAAGCUAGAAAACCAAGUUUAGAGGUUUUUGUAUAAAUAUAUAUGGUCUUCAUAAUUUAUGAAGAUCUAUAAUAUAGAAAUGGUUCCACAUAUUUCCACUUUUUAUCAUCUAUCUUUCAGUUUUUUUUUUAAAACAUAUAAAUUUGGUAACAUGUGUUUUUCAUAACUAUAAAUGCCCUUUUAAGUAGAUUUAUAAUAUAUAUAACGUUAUAUUUGUACAUUUUUGUAGUAAUAUGUUACUUUUCCAAAAAAAGAAAAUAAUUAAAAACAUAUUCAUAUGUUAUUCUCACUUUAUCAGUAAUAUUCAGAAAUUAUUCAGAGUAGAAAAAAAAAUUUGCUGAUUAAAUCAUACAUAUGCUCUUUUUUUCGUUACUUCAAUCUCUAUUUUUAUAUAUUAGUAAUGAUUCUUAAAAUAAAAAUUUUUAAUCAGUUUUUUUGAUAAAUAAAUUUUAUAUUUGUGUUAAAAAAAGUUAUUUUCCAGAGAAAGAGAAAAUAAGUUUUUUUUUUCUAUUUGACUACAAAAUCUGAUAUUUUAUAUUCAAUAGGAACGAUGGCAAAUGCAAAAGAAAAGGGCAAAUUGUGUGAUCAAAUACAACUCCCUGUAAACAAAGAUGGGUUGUGUGUUGAUUCUGAAUGCCAAAAUAAGUGUCGCGAGGCAAAAGGACCGAAGGGGUUGAGUAAAUGUUUUGGGUCAAAAGCCAAAAAGUCUAUGAAUUGCUAUUGCGGAAUUCUUUGUUAACGUGCUGGUUAAGUAUGGUGAAUAAAUAUGAUGCUCAACCAUGAUAGCUUUGAAGUAUUUUUUUUUAUUUUUCUCUGUUUUUUUUCCUGUACUAGAAAAACACUAUAAUAUUUUUAUUCGAAGCCUUAUAAUAAAGUAUUGAAAUGUUUGUUUCGGAUUUGUUGCAUUAUUUAUAAUAAUGAAUAACAUAAAUUUUAAUCAAGACACAAUGGUUAGUAUAAUCAGUGAACUUUUAUCUUUUUAUUGUAUUUAGUUAAUUCCGGCCAAUUGAACUUAAUAUCUUGUUCACUUAUUUUUUCUAUUUGGGCUAAAAUAAUAUUACCGUCCACAAAAAUAAGAAUCUGAAAGUGAAAUUAACUUUCUGAUUUUUUUUUUAAAUAUAUCAAUGACAAACCAUUCUUUAAAAUCCGACCCCAGUGAAAACGUCGUAUGUUACUAAAGGAAAGAAAGACAAAUGAAAAAAAAGAAUAAUUAAUUCCCUAGACAUUAUUUGAGAAGUAAUUUAUCAUAUGUCAUCACCAAAAUGAUUUUGAAAGAAAAAUGAUAACAUGGACUAUAACUAAUUAUGACAUGAAUAUUUACAUUUAAUGUUAUUUAUAUUUUUAGUAAGUUUUUUAGAAUAAGGUAAUACCUCAUAAAUAUAACUAAUUUAAAAAUAAAUAAUUUAAUAAAAAUUUAAAAAUAAUAUUUUUUUUUAAAAUCGAUAAAUAUGAUGCUCAACCAUGAUAGCUUUGAAGUAUUUUUUUUUAUUUUUCUCUGUUUUUUUUCCUGUACUAGAAAAACACUAUAAUAUUUUUAUUCGAAGCCUUAUAAUAAAGUAUUGAAAUGUUUGUUUCGGAUUUGUUGCAUUAUUUAUAAUAAUGAAUAACAUAAAUUUUAAUCAAGACACAAUGGUUAGUAUAAUCAGUGAACUUUUAUCUUUUUAUUGUAUUUAGUUAAUUCCGGCCAAUUGAACUUAAUAUCUUGUUCACUUAUUUUUUCUAUUUGGGCUAAAAUAAUAUUACCGUCCACAAAAAUAAGAAUCUGAAAGUGAAAUUAACUUUCUGAUUUUUUUUUUAAAUAUAUCAAUGACAAACCAUUCUUUAAAAUCCGACCCCAGUGAAAACAUCGUAUGUUACUAAAGGAAAGAAAGACAAAUGAAAAAAAAGAAUAAUUAAUUCCCUAGACAUUAUUUGAGAAGUAAUUUAUCAUAUGUCAUCACCAAAAUGAUUUUGAAAGAAAAAUGAUAACAUGGACUAUAACUAAUUAUGACAUGAAUAUUUACAUUUAAUGUUAUUUAUAUUUUUAGUAAGUUUUUUAGAAUAAGGUAAUACCUCAUAAAUAUAACUAAUUUAAAAAUAAAUAAUUUAAUAAAAAUUUAAAAAUAAUAUUUUUUUUUAAAAUCGAAAUUUAUAUAAUUCUGUUUAUAUAUUUUUAUUACAAAAACAAAACGUCAAAAUUUUAGGCAGAUUGUUUUUUAAAAAUUAAUUGUAAUUUUUAAUCCCACUACCAUUAAUUUCUUUUUAAUUUUCUUUUUUUUGACAGCAAGAAAAUUUACAUACUCAUAAAGACUCCGUAAACCAAGGUAGUAACUCUGUAUCCAUGUGUAUGACGAACGACGGUUGUAUCCUAGCACUGCGUGCCAAGCGAUCCGCCAUUUUAUUGUCCGUCCUCGAUACAUGAAUAACUUCUGAAUUGGUGAAGCUUCUUCUCAAAAGUAUGAUAUCCUCCAGGUAACUCCCAAAUGCUGGCCAUUCCUCUGGUUCCGAAACCAUCUUCACCAGUUGAGAACAAUCCGUUGCGAACGUAACCUGAAACUGUCUUAAAUUUUUCAUACAUUCCAUUGCCCAAGUCAGUGCUUCUAUCUCCGCAUGAAGAGGUGAUAAACUUGCCCUUAUGUUUCUUGCCCCUAACAGUCUCUCAAACCCUGGAAGUGUACUGAGCCAACCUUGGCCUGAGAAACCAUCUUUAUCCUUCCAAGAACCAUCCGUAAAACACCAUCUACCUGUAGUCACUAAGGGCAAUCUGCCUUGAACUUCAGGAAUGACCCUUGGAUUAUUGAGAUUCUGCGCUUCAUUCCAGAGUCUAGACUCUAAUUCUGCUAAUUUUAACGUCUCUCUCGGCUCAACAUCAAUAUUACUGAAAACCUUAUUAUUCCUGCCCUUCCAAAUAUACCAUAGUAUCCAUGCAAACUGAUGAUCCUCCAUUUUCGAGUUAACUCUCCAAAACAAAUGAUCCAUAUUAGUAAAAAGGGAACCAGUUGGAAAAAUAUUUGGAUUUGAUGGAAUCCUUGAUAGUGCCCACACUUGUCAUGCCGGAGGACAUUCAAAAAAAACAUGAUUAACUGAUUCCUCUGGAUUUCCACACCGUGCACAAACAGUAUCUCCUUGUAUUCCUCUUGAUUUUAAGUUCUUUGUCACUGCUAUACAACCUGUUAUCAACUGCCAUAUAAAAUGCCGUAACUUUGGAGGGCACUUAACUUUCCAACAAAAAGCCUAAAGUAUAUCCACAUUGGGACCAUAAUAAUCUGGUGGUUUUUCCUUGUCAGGAUAAAUCCUUUCUACUUGAUACCCUGAUUGUACCGAAUAUUUUCCAUUGUUAGUGAAAUGCCAACCAUUUCUAUCUUCCAUCUGAAUUCUACUCAGAGGAAUACCUUCAAUCAACUUUGCAUCCUCGGGCUCCACCAAAGUCCUAAGUGCCUGUAAAUUCCAAGUGCGAGAUUCCUGAUGAAUAAGGGAAUCCACUGUAAGAUCCGGGUAACUAUUGUGAAAAUUUUUAUUAGCUGGUCUCGGGCGAGUGGAUGGGAUCCAGGGAUCGUUCCAUACUGAGAUAGAUGAUCCUGUACCCACCCUUUUAAUUAGUCCUUUACAAACCAGAGAUCUAGCAGAGGUGAUACUCCUCCAGCCAUACGACGGGGAAUAUGAGCGAAUCGGAUCCAGGGGUGAAGCAUUCCUGUAAUACCGUCCUUUGAAAACUCGAGAGAAAAUAGAAUUUGGCUUCUCGAUCAGCCUCCACAAUUGCUUUCCAAGCAUUGCCGUAUUAAAAUCAUUAAGAUCCUUGAAACCUAACCCACCAUUAUCUUUGGUUUCACAUAAUUUAUCCCAUGAUUUCCAAUGCAUACCUUUUGUACUUCCUCCUGGACUCCACCAAAACUGAGCAACCGCACUCGUUAAUUUCUUCACUGUGGCUUUCGGUAAUCGAUACACCGACAUUACAUGGUUUGGUAGGGCCGUUAUGACUGAUUUAAUAAUCACCUCUUUUUCCCUUUGGUGAAAAAUCUAAAAGUCCAACCAUUCACCCUAUUAUUCAACCGAUCUUGUACAAAACCAAACACCUGAACCUUGGAUCCUCCUAAGCUUUCCGGCAAUCCCAAAUAGGAACCCAUUCCUCCUAAAUUCUGAAUCCCCAAAAUAUCUCGCAAUUCCUGACGGCUUGAUUCCUCAAUCUUAUGUCCAAAUUGAAUUGAAGAUUUUUGAAAAUUAAUUUGUUGUCCUGACACAGCCUCAUAAUCCUUUAGUAUCCUAAGAAUAGUAUGACACUCUUCUUUAUUGGCCUUGCAAAAGAACAAACUAUCAUCCGCAAAUAGCAGAUGAGAAACAGCUGGACACGCUCGGGCUACCUUCAUACCGGUUAAUUGUUUCAUCCGCUCUGCCUUUUUGAUAUUCAUAAUUAGAGCCUCUGUGCACAUAAUAAAUAAAUAAGGAGAUAAUGGAUCUCCCUGCCGUAAACCCCGCUUAGGGAUAAUGAGACCUCGGGGCUGCCCAUUGAGUAAAACUCUAUAUUGAACUGAAGAUAUACAUUCUUUCAUCAAUUUAACCCAAUGCGGGUCAAAUCCCAUUUUAGUAAGUAAGGCCUCAAUAAAACUCCACUCUAUCCGAUCAUAUGCCUUACUCAUAUCCGUUUUAAUUGCCAUAAACUUAUUUUGACAGGAUUUGUUGGAUCGCAACCCAUGAAACAUUUCCUGCGCAAUAAGAAUAUUGUCCGAUAUUAACCUUCCUGCCACAAAAGCCGAUUGCGUCUCCAAAAUUAAAUGGGGAAGACAAAUCUUCAAUCUUUGACACAAAACUUUCGAAAUGAUCUUAUAACCAACGUUACAUCCGUCCUUUGAAGACUCGAGAGAAAAGAGAAUUUGGCUUCUCGAUCAGUCUCCACAAUUGCUUUCCAAGCAUUGCCGUAUUAAAAUCAUUUAAAUCCUUGAAUCCUAAUCCACUGUUAUCCUUGUGUUCACACAAUUUAUCCCAUGAUUUCCAAUGCAUACCACGUGUACUUUCUCCUGGACUCCACCAAAACUGAGCAACCGCACUCGUUAAUUUUUUCACUGUGGCUUUCGGUAAUCGAUACACCGACAUUACAUGGUUUGGUAGGGCCGUUAUGACUGAUUUAAUAAUCACUUCUUUUCCCCCUUUAGUGAAAAAUCUAAAAUUCCAACCUUUCACCCUAUUAUUCAACCGAUCUUGUACAAAACCAAACACUUGAACCUUGGAUCCUCCUAAGCUUUCCGGCAGUCCCAAAUAAGAACCCAUUCCUCCUAAAUUCCGAAUCCCCAAAAUAUCUCGCAAUUCCUGACGGCUUGAUUCCUCAAUCUUAUGUCCAAAUUGAAUUGAAGAUUUUUGAAAAUUAAUUUGUUGUCCUGACACAGCCUCAUAAUCCUUUAGUAUCCUAAGAAUAGUAUGACACUCUUCUUUAUUGGCCUUGCAAAAGAACAAACUAUCAUCCGCAAAUAGCAGAUGAGAAACAGCUGGACACGCUCGGGCUACCUUCAUACCGGUUAAUUGUUUCAUCCGCUCUGCCUUUUUGAUAUUCAUAAUUAGAGCCUCUGUGCACAUAAUAAAUAAAUAAGGAGAUAAUGGAUCUCCCUGCCGUAAACCCCGCUUAGGGAUAAUGAGACCUCGGGGCUGCCCAUUGAGUAAAACUCUAUAUUGAACUGAAGAUAUACAUUCUUGCAUUAAUUUAACCCAAUGCGGGUCAAAUCCCAUUUUAGUAAGUAAGGCCUCAAUAAAACUCCACUCUAUCCGAUCAUAUGCCUUACUCAUAUCCGUUUUAAUUGCCAUAAACUUAUUUUGACAGGAUUUGUUGGUUCGCAACCCAUGAAACAUUUCCUGCGCAAUAAGAAUAUUGUCCGAUAUUAAUCUUCCUGCCACAAAAGCCGAUUGCGUCUCCGAAAUUAAAUGGGGAAGACAAAUCUUCAAUCUCUGACACAAAACUUUCGAAAUGAUCUUAUAACCAACGUUACAUAGGCUUAUCGGUCUUAGUUCCGCCAUCCUGGUAGGUCUCUCGACUUUUGGGAUCAUACAGAUGUUUGUUAUGUUUAAACGUGAAUCCAUAUCUCCUGAGUUAUUGAUCUUUGUCGUAAAACCAUCAGAAAUGCCUUCUUGAUUUUCUGUCCAUCCCGAUACAAUUGAUUCCAUGAGUCCUUCUUGGCCAAUCCAUCGCUUAUCAAACCUGAAUUGUCCUCUUUUCCGUCCUGGGGCCUUAUCGUCCAAAAAGCUACCACUGGUCUAUGAUCCGAUCCCACCAUUCUCAAAUAUUCUGUAUAAGAAUAUGGAAAAAGUGUAUGCCAUUACUCGUUAGCCAAGGCUCUAUCCAGACGACAUCUAACCGUAAAUGCUCCUUUCUCUUUACCUCUUCGUCCUUGCCAUGACAUUUUAUUACCUCGAGCCGGAAAUUCAAGCAAACCACUAUUUCUAAUCAUAUUAUCGAAGGGGUUGAGUAAAUGUUUUGGGUCAAAAGCCAAAAAGUCUAUGAAUUGCUAUUGCGGAAUUCUUUGUUAACGUGCUGGUUAAGUAUGGUGAAUAAAUAUGAUGCUCAACCAUGAUAGCUUUGAAGUAUUUUUUUUUAUUUUUCUCUGUUUUUUUUCCUGUACUAGAAAAACACUAUAAUAUUUUUAUUCGAAGCCUUAUAAUAAAGUAUUGAAAUGUUUGUUUCGGAUUUGUUGCAUUAUUUAUAAUAAUGAAUAACAUAAAUUUUAAUCAAGACACAAUGGUUAGUAUAAUCAGUG